rnacentral:rRNA from 1 species
UACGUAGGGGGCAAGCGUUGUCCGGAUUUAUUGGGCGUAAAGAGCGUGUAGGCGGUUAUACAGGUCCGCUGUGAAAACUGGAGGCUUAACCUCCAGACGUCGGUGGAAACCGUAUGACUAGAGUCCGGAAGAGGAGAGUGGAACUGCGAGUGUAGAGGUGAAAUUCGUAGAUAUUCGCAAGAACACCAGUGGCGAAGGCGGCUCACUGGCCCGGUACUGACGCUGAGGUGCGAAAGCGUGGGGAGCAAACAGG